GAGACCAUCUGCAGAUUAUGGGCCUGGUUAAAGCAGCCCUAGAAUAUCACAGCAAUUUUCCACUUGUGCCAGAGGUGUUACCAUCGCAGCCAUCACAUGAAUACACCUCAAAUCUUCAGUGCAAAAAACAGAUGGCAAACUGCAAAACUCCAGAGACUAUGAGCUUAAACAGGCACUACAGAAUGUGCAUGGAUCUUCUGAGGGGUCUCACCGUGUUUUCUGGACAUCUGGGUCUGCUGAAGGAGUAGUCAUGUGAAGCAGGACAGUUGUGAUCCAUGUUUGUAAAAUGGUGUGCUCAGGAAAUUACUGCAGUUUGGAUGUCUGAAUAUGAUGGGACUCCUUGAGUGGCAGAACAAAAAGAUUGACUCAUUGUAUGAAGAAUUCUAAGAAUAUGGUCAUCUCUGACAGGCAGGAUGCAGUAAACAAACCCACUGAAGUGCCCAAUCUGUUCACGGAUACGUUUUUGAGGAGCAGGCUGCAAAAUAAUUUUGUCUGCCAGAGACUGCUAAUAUUUACCUGAGGGUUAUGCACUUGAAAAAUAUGACUUCACAUUUAAUACUUGAAUAUCAUAUUUUUAAGUAUUCAGGAGUGGCUCAAAAAUUGUCCAUCUGGAAGAAAAGGAAAGGUAAACAAAACACCUCAGACUUGUGUUUAAUGCAGUGUGAUUUAAGGAAAAGCUUUAUUUUGUUACUGUUUCCUCCUAAACAUAAUGCAUAGCCUCAUUUUUGAAGAUGUUUUUUCUCUUCUGUAUAGCCUUAGAGACCUUACUCCCACAAUGCCUGCUAGUUUUUCCCUUUGAUAAUACAUGACUACAGAUAAUAGACUUUCAGUGUCACAGAUUCUGAACAAACUCAUGCUUAUAUAUCAGAAAAUGCCACUUUUCUUCAGAUACAUUUUUAGUUAUAAAUGCCUUGCACGUUUCAGUGGCUUUCUCAUGCUGAGUACUUCAUCCAGGCUUGGAUCUCAUCCAGCUCUCACCACAGGCAGUGGCAAGAAUCUUACUGGCUUCACUAGGACUAAAUGAAAUUCUGUGGGUUUUAUCUUCAUUUCUAUGUGUUCAGUCCCAAGCGCAGCACUUAAACAGAUGCUUAGACUUAUGAGUAGUCUUAUUCAAAUCAAGGAAUCAUUCACAUAUCUGUAAUUAAGUACAGGCAAAGGUGGGAGCAUGUACACAUAUAUGUGUAUGGUUAUAUGUAUAUGCUGUUAAAUUACUGAGGGUGGCAGAGCUUGUGGAAGAAUAUGACUUACCACUCAAGUGUAACUUAAGUGUUCGAGUCACAGAAUCAUGGAACUAUAGAGUAUCUCAAGUUGGAAGGGGACCACAAGAAUCAUCUAGACCAACUCCCUGCUCCUCUCAAGAUUACCUAAAAACUAAAUCAUAUGACUAAGGGCAUCAUCCAGUCACUCCUUGAACUUUGACAGGCUUGUUGGCGAGACCACUUCCACAGGAAUUUGUUCCAGUGGCCAACCAACCUCUCAGCAAAGAACCAUUCCGAAUAUCCAAUCUGGACUUCCCUUGAAAGAGUUUUAUUCUAAAUCCUCCUGUCUUAUUUCUGACCAGCAGAAAGAGGACAUCAGUGUCUCUACCUCUGCUGCUAACCCUUGAGCAAGAUGUAGCCUGUAAUGGACUCCUUCUCUUCCCCAGGAUGUACAAGCCAAGUUGUCUCCGUCUCUCUGGGUGCCUCCCAGUGAACCCCGGCCAGCCCCGGGUCGGCAAACAGCGGGGGGGGCAGCCCCGAAGUGACCGACAA